UGGACGGAGAGCUGUUGGUAAAGAUAGAAAUAAACAGCAGGAAGCGGGAGGGAAAUGCUGUCGGUAUGGGUUGAGAAGGUUUAUAGACAUUUAGUGCACAUCGGAAAAUACAAAUUUGAAACUUUUGCAGUAAACGGGAAAAUGCCUCAUCCAGCGAUUGACUCGAGUUAUUUUUUCCACAAUAUCUUUGACAGUCAAGAGUUCUUUUUUCCAAUAAACACCAGUGAUCAAGGCCAAAGCUCUGUUGCCUGUUGAGAAGGUGAUGUUUGACUUCCUUGUACUGCUGAAGUUGUAUGGUGAAGGUGCUCCCACAACGUGGUUGGGUAGGAGACAAUACAGAUUAUUCACUCAGCGAUAGUGAAGAGUAGAAGAUAUCUGUACAAAUCAACACAUUUUUAAUGUCACAAAAAUAUUGAGAACUUUUGACGU